rnacentral:rRNA from 1 species
GGAAUAUUGGGCAAUGGAGGAAACUCUGACCCAGCGACGCCGCGUGCGGGAUGAAGGCCUUCGGGUUGUAAACCGCUUUCAGUAGGGAAGAAGCGAAAGUGACGGUACCUACAAAAGAAGCACCGGCUAAUUAUGUGCCAGCAGCCGCGGUAAUACAUAGGGUGCAAGCGUUGUCCGGAAUUAUUGGGCGUAAAGAGCUCGUAGGUCGUUUGUUACGUCGGAUGUGAAAACCUGAGGCUCAACCUCAGGCCUGCAUUCGAUACGGGCAAACUAGAGUUUGGUAGGGGAGACUGGAAUUCCUGGUGUAGCGGUGGAAUGCGCAGAUAUCAGGAGGAACACCAAUGGCGAAGGCAGGUCUCUGGGCCAAUACUGACACUGAGGAGCGAAAGUCUGGGGAGCGAACAGGAUUAGAUACCCUGGUAGUCCAGACCGUAAACGGUGGGCACUAGUUGUGGGAACCUUCCACGGUUUCUGCGACGCAGCUAACGCAUUAAGUGCCCCGCCUGGGGAGUACGAUCGCAAGAUUAAAACUCAAAUGAAUUGACGG